rnacentral:lncRNA from 1 species
CCUUGCACUCCUUCUAGCUCUUUCGUUGGGUUACACCGGCGAGGCUGACCAGCAGCUCCACAUCAGGGGACUCGGCUUUUGGAGGUGUUAUCCCAGGAAUGGUCUGCAUUGCCUGCCUGAUUCCAACCCAACUCAACUGGGUUGCUCCUAUGCCAUUUACUUCACAACCGUGCAUCUCACUCUCUUCUCACCUUCUGCAUUAGCCUUUACCUUGGAAACAUCGGAUCUGUUCCCAUCUAAGCCAAAAACACUAUCCAAUUUUAUAUCCAUUAGGUAAUGCCUUGUGAUUCAAACUACAUCCCAAGAUUCUGCUUGUUGAGAAAGCUUAUUUCCAGGUGCUUGGAGAGGUGACAAGAA